GCAGGGGGAGCGGAGAUUAGUUAGAUCUUGGCCCGUUUAUCCAAAGGCAAAGACAUGGGUAGCAAGAUUACUAGAAAUAUCUUCUUGGAGUAUAAAGGAUAAUUAUGAUAGCUUAGGCCACCACCUUUCAGUAAAUUCCAUCUGGUACUUUACAAAUUAGCUCAUUAUUCUGCUGUUCUUACGAAUGAGUUAGUCUGUAAACAUAUCGCUGUCACAGAUUAGUCACCUAGUGUUUCUCUGGAAGUAAUUUACUAUAAGCACACCCACAAUCAUAGUAUGGAAUAGUAGAAUAGGUCCUCGCUUAAUUCUCUAAAUGGAAUUUAGUAUGAAGUAUGAUUCGAUUUCCAAGGAGUUUUUGAUGCACUCUUUACUGUCUGACUUUCUAAGGUUGGCAUGUGAUCAUUAUUCUGGAUAUUGACAAUAUCAUGUAAUAUUAGAAACCUCUUCUGUCUCCCCUUGGACUCCAUGAGCUAUCCAAGCCUACUGAUAAAUGAUAGGCUUGCAAAUUAGACAUAGCUUUUGUUUGUUUUUAUUUACAUUUGUCAUCCCAGGUGCCAUCACAACUGUUGUUUCCAUUCAAUAAUAGCAAUUGCAAUUUUGAAAAAAUAACUUAAACAUCUGAUUUUUAGAAAGUGCUUUUUGUGGCAGAUGAGUCCACCCACCAGAAAGAGAAAAAAAAAAAAAAAAAAAUUUUUCCUCUGUAGUUGACCUUGAUUACCUAUUGAGAAGUGUCCUUGUUUGGACUGUAGUAAAUAAUUCACGGUGAAAUGUAUCCUUUAAGAUGUUUUUGGCUAAUAAGAUUGGAGUCCCCAACCCAAUGGCUUAACAACAUCAAUAACAACAACAAAAAGAAAAUGUAUUGUCUUACAACAUAAAGUUUCCCGAUAGACUAUUCCAGGGCUGAUUAUGAAAAGGCUCAAAGACACAUUCAGAUUAUUCUCACCGUUCUGCUUUGCCAUCCUAAUACAGUGUCUAUUUUUAGACUGUCUUCAAUAUCAUAAGAUGGCUGGCUAUAGCCAGGCACAAGCCCCAAAGGCAGAAAAUGCAUCCUUUCUUCCUUGUACUUUUCUUUUUGUGAAGUGCUUCUUCCAUACGUCUUUUCAGCAGACUUCUGUUUAUACAUCACUGGCCAGAUUUGGUCUCAUGAUAUAAACAAAUCACUGGUCAGCAAAUGGGAUUAGAUUUAUCAGGAUUUACCCCUGAGCUGGAGAUGGAGUCACCUUCUAUAAGUACUUAGUUGCUUCAAAAAGAACGGAAAAAAUAAUUGGAUUUCUACCAGUAAGGAAGAAAGGUAGGCAGAUAACCAACAAUGGUAAAGGAACCAUGCUGUUAACCACAUGGUGACAGUUGUUAAAAUGGUACUUUAAACAGUGGCAAUGAGAUACAAUAGACGUUUCAUCCCACAGUGAAGCCCAGGUCCUGACUGCCAAUUUUCAGAAUAAAGUCUAGGAAUCAAUUUCAUGGCACAGGAAUGCUUGACUCAGACUGAAUCUUUUAAAGAGUUCAGAGAGUAAACAGGAAACGUCUGUUAUAUCUUUACACAGGUAAUGCGCAAGUCUACGUUUUUCUUGCCAACUGUACCCUACCCUGUGAGGUAUUUUCGUAAACUCUCUGUAGUCAUUCUCUUGGCAAAAGAACAUGGAGUGCACAUUAUUUGCAUAAAAUACGGUAAUUUAUGAAACUAUUGUUUUAAGAGAGCUGAACAAUGAUGUGAGUCCUUUCCCCCUUAAAGAGAGCUGCAGUUAGCCAUUCACUUUAGGCCCAGAGAAAGAGGCUGCAAUGAUGGAAUUUUUUUCCCAUGGACCAGAUGUGCACUACACUAGCGAGAGCUGGCCUUGAGCCAGCUUAUGUCCUUCCAGAGAGGGCCAUCUGGAAAAUGCACUUGGACUCCAACAGCAAGAGUCUGUAAAGAUUGGACCACUAGAAAACUCAGGGCUUGGUGGGGGGCUGUUUAAUGUGCAGCCCUUCAGGUUCAGGGCUCUGCCUGAGUCACAGAAGUUGCAGCCAGAGAGGUCCAGCAGGGUUGCCUCUGAUGAACCCAUGAAAGUGCUUGCCAGGCCCCCAGUGUGAGAUGCCAUCUUAGGAGAAGGCCAAUUCCAGAAAGAACCCCCUCUCCUUCUUUUGUAGCUUCUUUCCAUGCUCCCCAACCCCAGAGCAGUCAGUACCAGCAGCUGGCAAGUCAGGAUAGCAAGGAAGAUGGAAGGGAAACCCUCCCUCCUGCCCCAUUCACUUCCCCACUGCAAGCAGCCAGUCCACAGUGGGCCCAGCAGGGCAGGGGAAGAAGAGAUGAGUUAAAUCAAGUUUGGAGUUUUAGAUGACAGUUGGGGAUGGACAUUUUGAUUUCCAAAUAGAAUCUGAGCUGAUUUAAUGAAUGUAAAGCUUUCUAUUACCUAAGAGUUGCCAGCAAAGUCCCAAGAUUUGUCCAUAAAUAAAAGUUUAAAGGGACAGUGGAAAACCAAAAUAAAAUGUGUUUUAACACAUAUCACAUGCCCUUAUUUUUCAAUAUCAGCUACAAUAUCGAUACCUGUUUACAAAUAUCGUUUUUUAAAAAUGUCCUAACAAUACUAUAUUACAUUUGUAUGUCUCCUUGCGUAUUUUUUCUAUUUUCCUCUAAUAUAUGAGAGGAAAACCAAGGAAAGAUAUUUAUACUUUCAGCAAAUUUUAUUCUGAUCUUUUAAACACCUAUGCCCCAGCAGAAGGAGCCCAACCAAAACAGACCAUGCAUCAAAGUUGUAGAAAGCAGUCAGUCAUUGAGGAGAAUGGGGAAUUUAAUAUUGACAGUGGUCUCCUCUGUCCCACUCCACUGUCUUUGACAUUCCUGUGUCUUCAUCUCUUCUUCCCUCUGACUUCUUGGGAUUGGGGAGUUUAGGACUGCCUCCUGCUCUUUUUUUUUUCCUGCUCACUAGAGCUAGAAGCUAUGGGGAGACUUAACAGAGAUUCAGGGCUGCAACACCUGCUUAGCCUUCUCCAUUCAGAACAAAAAUAUUCAAACCCCAACACACAGUUGCAGCCUCAUCUCAAAUGCCUGAUGCCACUAAUCGGUGAGUAGUUACUGGAGAGAGCAAGGAAGACACGAGAAGCUUAUAUUCUUACUAACUUUGUUCUUGAUAUCUGUAUAAAAUGUGUAACUCCCAUUCUUUUAAAAGUGAGAUGGGAAUUUCAAAAAUUAAGGAAUCUUGCUGAGGGUCCUGGUAACAAAGAUCCUGAUCCUGACCUGCCCACUUCUAGAGUUUUAUUUUUGCUCCUGUUUACUCACCCAACUAAAAGGAAAGGAUCGGUGAGAAAAGAGGAGAAAACCUGAAGGGCAAUUUACUAUUUGAUCAGCUUUGUUAUUUGAAAUUAUUAUGUGGAAAAAUUUAUAGCUCUUCUGUGUCUUCGUCCGUUUUCACAAACCUUGAAACUAAGAGCAAUGGCUCAAAACACGUUGUAUUCCACAUUGAAUUCUUUCCCACUCGUAAUGUGCUUCCCAUGGAGAAAAGUAUAAGAUAUGUAGCUAGACAAUUAGAAUUCACAUCAGUGCUUUUCUGUCUUGUCCAUUUUGGAUAUGUGUUGUUUAUAGUUUGCCAUUUUGCACCUACUAAUUGACCGGUAGAGUCUGUAGUGAUUAUUGCAGGGGUGGAAUUGUCAAUCAGUUGGCAGUUUCAAUUGAUCAGCAUUAUGGAAUCACCCGCAAGUCAGAGAAUUACUAAUAGCAGGGCAGAGAGUGUAAAAUGCUGAGGGAAGGAGAUAGUAUUUGUUUAUAGUGGGCGACUAGGAUUUAAUAACUAGCCUAAAAUUUAUUUUCGUGCAAAAAGAAGGUUUUACUUAAUUAUAUCAUAGUGGCUUUGAAACCAUUAAUUAUUCUAAUAUAUUAGGCUCUGGUUUUAAUGCAUUUUAAUGUUUUUUUUUAAUUUUAAAUAAUUAUUUAAAAUUAUUAAAUGAAUAUUCUUUUUUUCCCCUAAAAAGAAAUUCUGCCUUUUGAAUAAUAUAUUCACCUACUCCAUAAUGCUAAUAAAAAGUGCAGUAUUUCCCUCCUUCCUUAAUCUCUCUCUCUUUAUGUCUCCCUCUAGCCUCCUUACAUAAAGCAAAUUGAUAUUCUGUGAAGGAAAUGAUGAAAGGGGUUUGAGAAAAAUAAGAAGCUGAUAUGUUGACUGGCUGUGUAAUAGACGUUAGUCAUAAUAAAAGGACACUCUCUCCAGAACAUCUGGAUGCGGAUGUAGAUUCAUGAGUUAACUCCUGUCUGGGUUAAUUUAAGCCUCAGGGAAGAAUUUAUGAAUAGCAAAACAGAUUUUAUGUGGUGACUCUUCUAGUCAAGAUAAAAAGAAACAGACUCAACCUAACUCCUGUAAAAAAGGAGGGAAUUCAGUUAUAGAGUUAUUGUAAGACUCAAAUUCACAGAAACACGUAUAACUGGGCCUUGUUUGAUUUGGAAAACUCAGGACAAAAAAAAAAACAAAAAAACCUGCCCC